ensembl:lncRNA
UGGCCGAUUGCCCAGGCCUACAGGUUGCUGCCCAGGGAGUUUCUGAGGACAGAGCCAGGGCUGGAACCCAGCCGGUCACCUGCUACCCUGCGCCUGUUUCCCUGACAGGAGCUUUGAGGCGGUAGAGUCGCGCCUGGGCCCUGACCACUUCAGCUCACCAUCAGACUGGCGUCUACACGGCCACCAUCUGCAGCGUCCUCACAUUGCCUGGCCGCUCUUGCCUCUGCCCACUGCCUUCUACACAACAGCCAGAACUGUGCAGCGUGCUGAGGACCGGACUUGGGCAGGGCCUCAGCGCUGGGCUAGAACUUGUGAUCCUCCUGCCUCGGCCUCAGAGUGCUAGAAUUACAGGCCUUCACCUUGUGCACGGACUGCGGGACUGCAGGUCGGCCGUCUCAGGAGCUGAUGCCUUAGAAAGGCCCGGGAGCAACUCGGGCGAUCUCUGUUGCUGGUGGGAGCUGCUGCGGCUACUCUGGAAAACACCCGGCGUCACCAGUGCAGACCCUGGGGCGUGGCAAGGGUCCGCACAGGAAGGUCCUUUCCACUGUUGGUGACACCAAGCAGCGAAGCCCGCGCUAAGGUGCGCCCCCUGGUGCCCAUGCCUGGGAGCAGCUCCCGCUUCCCCCUGACCCCGGAAGUUUUGUGAGCGCCCAAACUGCGUGCUAUGGGCGGAAGCAGAAGGGCCCCAAACUAGGAGGUGGAGGCCCUGUAUCUCAAAGGGAAGGGCAAGCCGCUUAGCAGGAACUCCCGGAAAGUGGGUUCGCUACUGGCAUAGCUAUGAAGUCGGAUCUUUCUUUGUCCAGACCCCUGCCUUGUGCGCGUUAGGCGCAGGCCCAGGGCAAACCGCGGACUCUGGGUGGCGGUUGUCAGCGCUGGGCCUGGGAGCUGCGCCUCGGGUGCAAGGUGCUGAUGACGGGGUGCCUGCGUGGCACACUCCUGCACACGAACCCUCGCACCGCUGACCCAGGAACAUUCGGGAGCUGCCCGCAUGCGGACAGCCGCUCCGGUCGCUGGCUUCUCGCGCUGUGAUGCGGGUGUGGGGCGGGGCGGGCUGGAGUUGGUCAGCAAGGAGGCAUCAAAUCAACACGAAGAGAUGGCAGCUUUUCUCGGCCAAUAAUGAACUAGCCGAGAAAGAAAUCAGAAAACAAUUCUAUGCACGAUAGCUUCCAAGAACAAAUCACCUAGGAAUCAACCUAACCAAGCAGGUGAAAUACCUCUGCAAUGAAGAUUAGAGAACUCUGAAAAGCAAAGUGGAAGAUGCUGGUAGAAGGUGGGACACCACCAUGUGCAGGCGUCAGGAUCGACACUGAGUGACCACAGUGACAGUCUUUGAAUGAUCCACAGGUUCAGUACAGUGCUCAUCAGAGCUCCUGUGGCAGUCUGCACAGGACUACAAAGAAUGGCCCUGAAUUUCUCAUGGAAACACAAAAGGCCCAGACUAGCCAAAUCAAUCCUAAGCAAAGUCAGAUGUGGUGGCGCACGCCUGUGAUCCCAGCACUCGGGAGGCUGAGGCAGGAAGAUUAUCACGAGUUUGAGGUCAGCCUGGACUACACAGUGAGGCCCUCAAAAAAAAAAAAAAUCCUAAGCAAAAAGCAAAGCUGGAGGCUUCACAAUACCCAAUUUCAAACUAGACUGCAUCAUAGACUACAAACUAUACAGAUCCAUAGACCACAGUAACAUGAACAGCAAGGCAUUGGCACAAAAAUAGACACAUAGACCCAUGCAACAGGACAGAGGACACAGAAACACCCGUGUUAACCUUUUUAGCCACUAGAGAAAUGCAAAUCACUGGUCAUUCACCUCAGCCCAGUCAGAAUGGCUGUCACCAAGGACACAGACAGCAAUAAAUACUGGCAGGGGUGCAGGGGGAAAGGGACCCUUGACACUGCUGGGGGAAUGGAAGUCAGGGCAGCCACUGUGGAAAUCUAUACGGAGGUCCCUGAGAAAGCUAAGCAUGGAACUGCCACACUCCCUUCUGUACCCUGCCUGGUGUGUAUGCCAAGGAAGGAAAGCCAGUGUGUUAUGGGGACACCUGCACAACCAUGUUUAUCGCAGUACAACUCAUGGCGGCCAAGAUGCAGAACCAGCCAGGUGCCCAUCCAACAGAUAAAUGGAUAAAGACAGUGUGGUGUCUAUACACAGUGGAGUAUUACUCAGCUAUAAAGAAGAACAUGAUUAUGUCAUUGCAGGAGAAUGGAUGGAACUGGAGAUCGUCAAGUAAAGCAAAAUAAGCCAGACUCAGGAAGGCAGGGUUCCAUGCUUUCCCUAAUAUGUGGAAUCUUAAGAAAAGAGGAACAUGGAAAGUAAGAGGGAGACACUUACUAGACAAGAGGAAAGAAAUAAGGGAAGAGUGCCAAGGAUUUAGCUCAGUGGUUCCGGCGUCUGCCUUGCAAGCGCCAGGUCCCGAGUUUGAUCCCCAAUACCAAAAAAAAAAAAAAGAAAGAAAAGAAAAGAAAUGAAGGAUGAGGGGCAGAAAGGAGGGUAAAAGGACGAUGCAGAUGAUGAAAAUAUAUGCAUGUAGUCCAAACCAAAACCCCAUUAUUUUGUAAAAUGAAUAGGCACUAAUGAAACAUUUCAAAAAGUGAUAUCCAAGUGGAUUACUCCAAGUGUUUCUGGCGCAAGUGACAAAUGUCCACUAACAGGGCCUUAAGCCAGUAGAUGUUUAUUUCUCUCACAAAAGGAGAAGCUGCAGGCAGAUGCUAGGGCUCUGGGUCUGACACUUUGCAGGUCUCUCUUUCCCUCACAUCACAAGACAGCUGCUGUGCGCUAGACAUCACAUCAUGGAAGGGCCUCCUUACCUAUCACACACCCGUCCCAGCAUUCCCUGGGACUCUUUUGCUUUGACCUCAUUGGCCAGAUUUAUGUCCCAUGACUUGGCUUGCCGCAAGGGCGUCUGGGAAAGUGAGUUUUUAGCAUUUACAGUCUGUAGGGCCAAGAGCAGUGUAUCUCCGUGUGUCCCGCAGGGGCUCCCGAGGCAGGGGAGAGUUAGUCUUUGCUCUGUGUCGCUCUCCUCCUUGGGCUUCGCCUCUCACCCCAGUGCCUGAGCUGUAAGAAGACUGCGUGUGUGAAGAGCUCUGUGAGGUGCUGCACAAGAUGGGAUCACUGUGGAUGGCCAAGGUGGACACGUACGGGGUGCGGGGCGGGCGGGGGGCGAGUGAGUCCUAAUCGCCCGCUGCGCUCCCCGGUCCAGACCCCGGGAUUGGGCGGCUCGAGUGCCUGAACCCCAGGCGCUCACUCCGGGCAAUCGGCUCAGCUCAGGGCUUCCGGGACCCAGGCAGAGACGCGGGUUCAGAUCCUCCCCACUGCGGCCGUCCCGUCCUCGGAAAUCUGGCGUCCCAAGGUUUCGUGGAGAAAUCAGAGGACGAACCCGGACGGCCAGCCGCCCAGCAUCCUGGUCCUCAGAAAGGUUGGGACGAACGGGCGUCUUAGGGCUCGAGGGGGCCGCACCCCGAAACCCCCAGGCUGGCCCACACUCGCCUACCCACCUGCUGUGCGACAUGGGGCUACGACGAACCCCUCCGAGCCUCAGUUUCCUCCACUGUAAAACGGGGG